CUACGGGUGGCAGCAGUAAGGAAUAUUGGUCAAUGGAGGGAACUCUGAACCAGCCACUCCGCGUGGAGGAAGAAGGCCCUAUGGGUUGUAAACUUCUUUUAGAUGGGAAUAAAAUGAUCUCUGCGGAGGUUACUGAAGGUACCAUCAGAAUAAGCACCGGCUAACUCCGUGCCAGCAGCCGCGGUAAUACGGAGGGUGCGAGCGUUAUCCGGAUUUACUGGGUUUAAAGGGUGCGUAGGCGGGAUAAUAAGUCUGUGGUGAAAGGUUGUAGCUUAACUAUAAAAUUGCCAUGGAUACUGUUGUUCUUGAAUUACAAUGAGGAUGGCGGAAUGUGACAUGUAGCGGUGAAAUGCAUAGAUAUGUCAUAGAACACCAAUUGCGAAGGCAGCUAUCUAGUUGUGUAUUGACGCUGAGGCACGAAAGCGUGGGGAUCGAACAGGAUUAGAUACCCGAGUAGUC
rnacentral:rRNA from 1 species